GAUUAGGACACAGACAUACAUGGAGGAAGACUAUGUGAGGAUACAGGGAGAUGGGGGCCAUCUACAAGCCCAUGAGAGACCUCAGAAGAAACCAUUCCUGUCGCCACCUUAAUCUUGGACUUCUAGCCUCCAGAACUAAUCCAAAGAAUUGAUAACUGGCUCGGAGUGCGUCACCUGCCCUUGACCCUGUCCUGUCCAGUGCUUCUUUCAACAACUUGGAUGAAGAUAUAAAAGGAAAUGGAAUCCCCUGUCCACUUCAGGCCUGUUGAGACCACCAACCCAUCAACUGGGCCCAUGCAGACAUAUGUCCAAUAAGCAACCUUUUGACAUCAAGAGGUUAGAACUCGAUCCUUGGGGCAUGCUAACAUCGCCAUUCUGUGAACAUGCGUCCUACGAAGAGGCAUGAAGCCUGACUACACUUGUGCAGAUCAUCAAUUACCUCAUCUUUCCUCACCUCCAAUCAUUUCAGACCACCUUGCCCCCUACCCCAUAAAUAUCCCUCAGUCCCUAUUUUCGGGGAAGUGGAUUUGAGAUUCAUUCUCCCAUUUCCUCACUUGGCUGCCUUGUGAUUAAUAAACCCUCUCUCUGCUGCAGUCUCAUCACCUUGGUGUUUGGCUUUCUGGGUGGUGGGCCAAAACGGACC